GAUGAAGAACGUAGCAAAAUGCGAUACGUAAUGUGAAUUGCAGAAUUCAGUGAAUCAUCGAAUCUUUGAACGCACAUUGCGCCCGCCAGUAUUCUGGCGGGCAUGCCUGUCCGAGCGUCAUUUCAACCAUCAAGCCCCGGGCUUGUGUUGGGGACCUGCGUCCGACGCAGGCCCUGAAAACCAGUGGCGGGCUCGCUGUCCACACCGAGCGUAGUAACUAACCUCGCUAUGGAGUGGCGCGGGCGCCUGCCGUAAAACCCCCAAUUUCACAAGGUUGACCUCGGAUCAGGUAGGAAUACCCGCUGAACUUAAGCAUAUCAAUAAGCGGAGGA
rnacentral:misc_RNA from 1 species